rnacentral:rRNA from 1 species
GAUCCUGGCUCAGGACGAACGCUGGCGGCGUGCCUAACACAUGCAAGUCGAGCGGAGACAGUGGGUAGCUUGCUAUGAGCUGUUUUAGCGGCGGACGGGUGAGUAACGCGUGAGCAACCUUUCCCAGACAGGGGAAUAACACACCGAAAGGUGUACUAAUACCGCAUAAGACCACGGAAUCACAUGGUUCUGGGGUAAAAGNUUUAUCGGUUUGGGGUGGGCUCGCGUCCGAUUAGGUAGUUGGUGAGGUAACGGCCC